rnacentral:rRNA from 1 species
GAUGAACGCUGGCGGCGUGCCUAAUACAUGCCAGUCGAGCGAACAGAUGAGGAGCUUGCUCCUCUGACGUUAGCGGCGGACGGGUGAGUAACACGUGGAUAACCUACCUAUAAGACUGGGAUAACUUCGGGAAACCGGAGCUAAUACCGGAUAAUAUAUUGAACCGCAUGGUUCAAUAGUGAAAGACGGUUUUGCUGUCACUUAUAGAUGGAUCCGCGCCGCAUUAGCUAGUUGGUAAGGUAACGGCUUACCAAGGCAACGAUGCGUAGCCGACCUGAGAGGGUGAUCGGCCACACUGGAACUGAGACACGGUCCUGACUCCUACGGGAGGCAGCAGUAGGGAAUCUUCCGCAAUGGGCGAAAGCCUGACGGAGCAACGCCGCGUGAGUGAUGAAGGUCUUCGGAUCGUAAAACUCUGUUAUUAGGGAAGAACAAAUGUGUAAGUAACUAUGCACGUCUUGACGGUACCUAAUCAGAAAGCCACGGCUAACUACGUG